rnacentral:rRNA from 1 species
ACUUAAAUUGAAGAGUUUGAUCAUGGCUCAGAUUGAACGCUGGCGGCAGGCCUAACACAUGCAAGUCGAGCGGUAGCACAGAGAGCUUGCUCUCGGGUGACGAGCGGCGGACGGGUGAGUAAUGUCUGGGAAACUGCCUGAUGGAGGGGGAUAACUACUGGAAACGGUAGCUAAUACCGCAUAAUGUCGCAAGACCAAAGUGGGGGACCUUCGGGCCUCAUGCCAUCAGAUGUGCCCAGAUGGGAUUAGCUAGUAGGUGGGGUAACGGCUCACCUAGGCGACGAUCCCUAGCUGGUCUGAGAGGAUGACCAGCCACACUGGAACUGAGACACGGUCCAGACUCCUACGG